UUUUGAGUGGACUGUAGAAAAUGUUGCUAAAUCAAUUGUUUGCAUGAUGAUGUCGGGUCCCUGUUUAACCUGUUGCGGCACGCUGCAAUGGUGUUCAAAUGCAUACUUCUGAUGUACUACAAGAACAGUGGUGGUCAUAACUACAGGAGGCAGAUCACUUGCCUAAAGCUCCUGGUACAACUCUACAUCAGUUUCUGAGCAAUAGGGCAGAGAGAAUUCAAAGACAAAAAACUGAUCAACAACCGCAGGAUGCCCGGUCAAAAGCUUCAAUAAAUAGCGUUGAACGUUUUGCUAUCAUUAAUUUCUUCUGGCAACAUGGGGUAGAUGUGAAUGCUUCAGAUCAUACUGGACAAACAGCAUUACACUGGAGUGCGGUGCAGGGAGCUGUUCAGGUUGCAGAGAUCUUGCUCCAAGAGGGUGCCAGUGUUGGUGCUGCUGACAUGUAUGGAUAUCAGCAAGAAGUCUUCUUGGCAAAUUUCAGACAUGGUAUGGAUGUCUUGGACAGAGAGAAGUGGAGAUAUAUAAGUGAUUGCCGUGGAACCUCCGUUGCUGUAAGCUCAAUUUUUCUUGGACUGAUAUUGGUUGGCAGAGCAGCCUUUGUUCUCCCCUUAUCAUUCAUUUCCAACUUGGCCAAGAGAUCUUCCAGUGAUAGAAUUGAGCUAAAACAGCACGUUCAAUCCUACAGAUUCUAGGUUUUGUUGGUUAUGCAU